CUGUACUGUUCUUUUCAUCUACAGAAGUGAGUAAGGAAUUGUUUUUCUUUCCUAUUCCUAUUUAGAUGUCUCAUGAUCUCUACCAAGAAAAAAAUCUCUCUAGCAUGAAAUAAAAGCAGCAGACUUUCAUAGUGUUUCAUCACGUCAAGGUAUUUUCUUUUCAAGUUAGCUGAUCCUACCCUGCAGAGAUACCAUUUGGUUACAACUAACUUGAAAGGAGAGAGGAAAAAAAGCAGAUAUGUCUUCAACUUGUGUCUGCUGCAAGAAAGAAGAAGGACAAGAAAAGACAAGAGGAGAAUAGAAGAGGAGCUUUCUCUACUCUGCAACAACUCUGCAACUUUUGACCCAGGGUGUGCCAGCCACUGCAGGACAACCAGAGAGAGAGGGCAGAUCUAAGCUGCAAUGACGUUCAGAC
rnacentral:lncRNA from 1 species